AUGUCAGAUGCUAUGAGUGCAAAAUUUGACAAGUACUGGUCUGAUAUCCAAGGCCUCAUGGGUAUUCCUACACUCCUUGAUCCACGGUUUAAGAUUGAUAUGCUGCAUUUGUGCUUUGAAAUGCUCCUUGGUGACGAGUCCAUUAUUGAUUGUGAGAGUAAAGUUCAUGAGAUCCGUGAGUUAGUGUCUAGCCUGAUGCUUGAAUAUAAAAUGGAGAGUGAGCAAGAGAAUACAGAAGCCCAGUCUGUGUCCAUUUCUGCAAUGGAAGCUAACGAGGUGAUGUCCAUCUUCAGUGCACGAGUAGCUAGAAAGAGGCCUGCAACCAGUUUAUCCAGAACAGAGUUAGACCGCUACUUGGAUGAUAAGUAUGUGCCAGCUAAUCAAGAGAAUUUUGAUGUGUUGGAUGGUGGAAUGUUGCUGGUUCACGCUACCCAACUUUGA
rnacentral:rRNA from 1 species